GAGAGGUCCUGGUAAUGAGUCAUGGACUCGGUGCCCUGGCUGCCUGUUUCUGUUCAGUGUGAGUCACUUCAUUUGCACAGAUGACUCUUGCUGCCAACCACUGCCCUCCAGGGAGGCUGUGGAGAUGGGUACCAGUGUGUGAGCUUUGCUUUCACACCCUCCAUAAGCAGAGACUCAGCUGCUAUGAGCAAUAUAACACUGACUCUGGGUGCCUUUCUUAAACUCUUCAUUUCAGUAAUAUCUUUGGGCCUAAAAACCUUGCAGAUAAGAGAGUUUUUUCAGUAGCCAUCAUUUGUGCUCUGACAUUGAGGAGAGGGAUAUGGUACCUGUUCACAGGGGGAAGGGAAGGCCUGCCAAUGUAUCAGUGGCCACCCCCCAUCGUCCUGGGUACAAGGAACCUUAAAGGAAACCCUAUGGGCAUUCCCUAACUUUUGUUCUAACCAAGGGAUAUGAUGGGAAGGGAGACAAUUCUAAUCUGGGAGAAGCAUGAGUUUCCUGUCAAAAGAACGUGAAAUCAAAUGAAGACUUUCCAUCUGCUGCAAAAUGCUCCUCAUUUCCGUGUGGGUGCACAUCACUCUUUGGAGGGCUGGGGAGACCUUCACGCUUGAUCACGGCUCUCCCUUCCCCGUCGCUUUCCCAAUGAUACUGCCCUCUUCCUAGGCCAGCAGAUGGCCAUGGUGAGCAGGGAAGUACCACCUGGAAAGAGAGAACAAGCACUGAGAUGCACUCGCUCCAAGUAAAAAGGAAGUUGGAGAAGACUAGACUCUCCAGUCUGAAGGAGGGCGAGAAAUGAGAGAAAGCCGACACGAAACUAUACCUUGUUUUUUUUUUUUACUUUUUGUUCAAGGGUAGUAUUCUCAGAGAAAUUUCACAAGUCCCAAGCACAUAACCAGAUGAACUUUUACAAACUGAGCACCCCUGUGUACCAGAUCUGGAAACAGGACAUGACCAGUAUCCCAGAAGCUCUCCUUGGGGCUCCUUCCUGUCACUAACCCUCCUCAUCAAGAGGAACC